CAUCACCCCCCCAUCACCCCUCCCUCCUCUCCCUCGUCCUCCUCCUCCUCCUCCGUCCCCAGCCCCGGGGCUCCCCAGAAAUCGCCCGUCGCGGUCCCGGGGGCCGGCAGCGGGUCCCUACGGGUCCGGGGGGGAGGGGGGGGUCCGUGUCCGGUCCGGUCACGGCGCUGGGCUCGCCCCCUGCCCGGCGGUACCCUCAGGGAGCAGCCCGAGGUGCCGCCCGCCGCCAUGUCGUACCUGAGGGCGGCGGGCUGCGUGCCGCGCUCCUGUUCCCUUCUCCUCAGGUGUCGAGGGCAUUCCCGUGCGCUAAUGAGAACAAUGAGCGGUGCGGGAUGCGUAACUUCACCGCUGCGGUACCUACCUUCAGCUGGGGCUGACGGCUGAGGGCCCGCGUCCUGCUCAGCACGCGUUCUUGGGGUGCAGCUCCAUCGGGACCGGUGCUUUGGGUGAUCUGGAAACACCAGCAGGGCACGCCGGUUCUGGACGGAGCCGAGCAGAAGAGGGAAAAGGGGGAAGGUCUGAUCGUGCUGGAGGGUACAACGCGUGGUGUUAGAUAGCUAGGGCAUCACACAGCCCAUCCAAGCGCACGCAGAUUUCAAGACUCCACGUUAGAGAACCAGUCCAAGGGAGCGGUGUUGCCCUGACAAAGCUGGAUUCUCGCACUGCUGCCCUGUUACACCCGUUUGCAAUUCCUGUCCCAGUGAAGCACUGGGGAAAGAGAGGUGAGAACAGGAUGAGGACGUGACUCAGGCGUAGCAGGUAAAGCAGGAGAUGGCCUGACGGUACCCUCUGUUGUGGUAAAACGCAGAGGGAACAUGAGGGGGAUGGCAUGCAUGAGAUGUGACAAAACAGCUGAAGUGAAGUGCGAGGUUGUGGAGGACGGGGAGGCUGAAUGGGGAGCUGGAAAUUAGGUGUGGUAGGUGAUGGAGAGGCAGCAGAGGAGGUCUGCGUGUCUGCAGCUGAUAGCAGCUACAGGAGUUGAUUGCUACUGCCAGAGAAUAGUAGGAAAAUGCAGGGGAAAGGCAGUGUCACAGAGGAUGGAGCGAGUGAGCCUGCAACGAGGGGUGCUGUCACUGUGAUGCCAAGGUGAGGGAAGAUUGCGUCUAAGUGACAGUAACCUCACUGAAAGCAAAGAGCAACACAUAAAGGAGGUCGGACCGCAGGAGAACCUGUCUUUAAACUCUCUGAUACCAGCUCAGAAGAUGACAUACCUUGAUGCUCAGUAGGGGUCCGGUUAAGAGGUUAGCAGGGCUGAGGAUGUUCGUAGCUCUCUGGGCUACUGACGGGGAGGGCUGUUAUAAUUUUUAGCUUCUGAGGCUUUGUCAGGGUGCGCUGCUCCAUUUCUCGAAAUUGUGGGCUAAAUUCAUCGCUGUUUUAAUGCAACACUAAACUACUCGUGUUUCACUUGCAGGCAGUUUCACCACAAUAAACCAUGAUCUUUCACUCUCCAGAACGUGACCUCCAAGGCUAAGUGGCUCAAGGACUGCCCGCUCUAUGGGUAGCAGACCCGGCUGUGACAGCUUUGCACAGAAAGCUUUCAUAAGGGGAUGGAGACUAGCGAUAGCAGCAACAGUUCAACAGACUGUCAUCAAGUAGCAGGCAGGAUUCCCCUAGAAAAGUGCUUUGGUUCCUGGCAGAGCACCUUAGGAACCAUACAUCCUGCUGCUCUCGAUCCUGUUAGGAGACAUGGGAUGGACAAGCCAGCCCACCCAGCCAAGCAGCUGUUUUUUUGGGGGUACACUGAACAUCAGCGUAUUCCAAGGGGAGUUUUCCUCAAGUGUCGUGCAUUGCAGGGAUAGACUGUGUUUGUUGGCUUUGCUUGAAUUGGAUGAAAAUUAAAUGAUAACCAAAUCAAAAGUCAUUCUCACUUCUGCUUAGUGAAAAUCCCACCUUUUGGCCGGUCUUACUGGGAUGCUGAUUGUACAAAUUAAAAUGCAGAGUUAUGGGGAAGUUUGAGUGUUGCCUGUGACUGUAAGAUAACUUCCAGGCACCUGUUCCUUGCAGGAGGGGUGUUGGCUUGUGUCUGUCAGGGCCAGCACCUUUCUGCAGUCAGACACCUGAAAGCUCUUGUCCUCUUGUUAAUUCUCAUACCUACAAAGGAACACAUUUUUUUUGCUGAUCCUUUACACAUGUCUAGGGGGGCAGUUCCUCAAGAAGCUGCUUCUUUACUUGGAUGCAUUUGGAGCUUCUCGCAAGAUAGACAAUACCCUGAAGUUUGUUAGCUUCACCUAGGCUUGUCAUCAACACUAGUCAAGUGCAAGCAUUAAUCAAAUUAAAGGUUUACUCCAGCCAGGCAUAAGGGCAAGCUCCUAAUUACAAGGCUGGAAAACAAGAAUGACUGGGAGUCAUUUAAACUUGAAAUGUAAUUCUAGGGCAAACUUAACAGGUUUUUCCUUAGCUAUUACCUUUCGCCUUGAGUUUUUAGGAUACGUCUCAUCCGUAAAAAACAGCAGUCUAAUUUGUACGUGCGCUGUGUGGCUUGUCUCCUUCCCUUCCAGCACGAAGGAAGUGCCUCAGGUGUGGCUGGCUGGGGUUUUGCUGGAAACACCAAGUGCUCCCUCCUGACCCUGCUUUCUGUUGUGCCUUCUGAACAAGCUGCCCUAGUACACGUUGACCAGCUCCUUUUCCCCGGCAGCAAUUCGUGAAGCAGUUUACAAAGCAUUUACUGGCUUUCCUACGUUCACUGUUUAAUAGCAUUAAAAACUACGAGCUCUCUAGCAGUUCCCUCAAAUUUUCUGCACGUAGCUGAUCUCCUCUGGAGUGACACAAAUGGUGCUUGAACAAGGAAGACAACGGACUUGAUAAGCAGCCGUCCCACCAUUUGGUGUCAGCUUAUGGGGUUCCUAAUUUGACAUCACCCCGUUGCUGAAGAAUGAGAGGAGAUCACACCUCCUACAUCUAAGAGAGUGUGAGGAGAGAGGGAAUCGCGCUAGGCUGUGCUGAUCUUAAUGUCACAGUUGACAAAUCUAAUCUUUCCCUAGUUCAUCUACCACUGCGCCAGCUAGGCAUCAUUUUGUAUGAUUAAGUGCCUGUGAAAUCAAAUAAUGAACGGAAUUUGUUCCAUUUGGAUACAUUAUCCAAACUGGACUUCGGGCACAUCAUCAUUUCUCUGAUCUUUAGCUUGGAGAUGCCACAAUGCAGAUAAUAGUAGUAGAAAUACUGACGCUGCAUGUUGGUGGUUCGCUUGACUCAUUACAGACAAUGAAGUAUACCACUGACAGAAAUGUAGUGCUUAACACUGAGAUGUCAUAGAAAGAAACAGAAUUUGUGCCAUAUAGGAAGAAAAGAUUUUAGUGGAUAAUGUGCUAGCAGGGAACUACAAGCAAUUUGUACGCUGGAUUUUUGUGAUUUUUUUCAUUAAUAACGUUAUUUAUUCUGUCUUUGGAAGAAGGAAAUGGUGUCGGCUGCUUAGUACCAGACUGCAUGUGUAAGUCUGGGCUUUCUUAAUGAUCUUCCAGUUAGAAUUGUGAUUAAGCGUGUUACUAAAUUAGUAGCUUUGUGGUAGCUGCGUGAGUUUCAUUCAGAACACGAUGGCAGUCCCAGAGAGGUCACGCUGUACUAGAAGUGCAUUGCAGCAGACAUUUGUUGGCUUGCAAAACGAGGGGACUAUUCACAUCCAGCACUUGUAAACCCCCUUCUGGGAGUAUCGCCCAUCCUGUUCCAAAAGGAGUUUACACCUUUUUGGUGGCGGCCAAUACUGCCGCUUGCCACUGGGGAAGCUGCAAGACGCCCGCUUCCCCUGCACUUCCCGAGCUCCUGCAAGCUCCCACCUGGUGGCACGGGUCCGGCCCGGGUGCCGGGGCUUGGUGGGAAUCUGAGGGAAGCGCUGCUGAGAGUGGGUGUGUACCACGGGGGCUGUGAGGGAGCCAAGGGACUUUUCAGCAGGCUUCUUUCUCUUAAGCCAUCAGAUUUCAGCUCGUCUGAGAGGAUGAGGCUGUAAAGGUCGUCGGUUACAGUAGUAGAUUUCAUUCCCUUUUAGUUUUUAUCUUCAAUAAAUAAUGCACGCUAGCAGUGGCAGUCACCCCGUGAAAGAGUGAAAACAUUGUGCUAUACAACUACCGUCACCCUAUACUUGCAAGUUUGUGACUGUUAUUUGCAUUAAUGUAGUGUACAGAGCGUUACUGUGCUGCUGUGCUCUACAUCUUGUGAACACAAAGGCUUUAACUUUGUAUUCCAAACUCUUUUAACUUCCAAGCUCUUUUAACUUUCAAACUCUUUUCCAAAAAAAAAGUUUGGAAGUUGGUUAUUGUAAUGAUACUUCGAAGCAACAUAGGGCUUUACAGAAACUUCAGCUUCCCGAGAGCAUCGCUGCUGUCUGUGCCAAACGGUUGAAUAGUAUGCAGCAGCUUAAAAUGGAAAGUGGAGUUAGAUGUGUAUCAUCAAGUCCUUCAUAGAUAUGGAGAGAAGUCGGCAGUUCAUCUGUGGAGACGAUGCGAGGCUGUGGCAAGGAUGCUGGGUUGGGAUUCAGCAGCCUGGUUGCCCUUCUGAAUGCAGCCCGUGCUGAGCAUUGCCCUGGACAUAGCCCUCACCUUUUUUUCUGCAUCUUGGUUCCUCCACUUGCAAAAAGAAAGGACAGGUUCCCUUGUAAACACUUUAAGAUCAAGGAAAAAUGGUAGACGUCUUUCUUGGGAUUAGGCGUAUCUAUAGCCACUGUUUAAAUUAAGUACGUGGAAAUUUCUUUGUAGGAGCAGACAGCCGAAAGUGGCCUGCAGCUCAAACACAGACACGUGUGGGAUGUGAACAUGAAGCUGUACUACCUUGGGAGGACAGCGUGUCCAUCUACUGCUGGCUCUAAAGAAGCUGCAGGUGCUUUGCCAGCUGUGUACAUGCCAGGUUGUGUGACAUGGAGCUACCCUGUGACUGCACCGCCUCCUUGCUGUCCUCGUGACUGCAAUGAGCACCGCAGAAAUGCCCUACUGCUUUUCCAGGUUCACCUUGUAAGUUUUGUCAACUGUUUUUUAAAGAAAGGAAGGAUGAAAAUUAAUUACUUGGAGCAAGAACAACGGGAGAAGCAGAUCCCAGCCUUCUGCUGAGGAGAAAUUCCCCAGCCCUUAGUUUCCUUCAGCAGCUGUUUGCUGGCUGUUUGCAGGAGUGCCCAGCCCCUUCACCGUCUGCCUGUUGUCCUCCAGCCAUUUCUAUAACCUCCUGUCAUGGCAUCCCUUCCGAGUGAAUGGGAGUCCCUGUAGGUAGCUUGAGGAGGGAAGGGUGACUCCCCUGUGCAAGGAUGGAGGUGGAACCCCAUCGUCUGACUGUACAUGGAAUAAAGGUAACAGGAUUGCUUCAUCUCCCUGAUUUAUGGAGGAAAUGGGAAGGCUCUGAUUUAUGAAAACAAAAGAAGUAUUUCUUCAAAAUAAAAAACCACAGAACUUCACUCAGCCAAGCAUUCCUCAAACUAUAAAGAAAUAGGAAGAGGCUAUGAAUCAAAUCAAUUAUUUUUUUGUAUCUCUUCUGUGGCUGUGAUCUGUGCCUUCCAUCUGCAAGACACUCUUUCCUGCUCAGACGUUCAGUUUAUGGAACAGAAACAUUUGAAAAGCUGACUAAAUUGAAGAAUGUUACAUUUUUGUUUAAAAAAAAAAAGCCUACAUCAUCCCCAUUUUUUGAAAUACUCAGUAAUUUGUUCAAAUGCUUAGUAUACAGCGCAUUUGUUUUGUUGAACUCUAUAUCAGGCCAGUGCUGAGUUAUGGUGAAUAUAGCUCUUUUUCUAUAGUUCUUUUUAGUUUAUAGCUUCUUUCAUUCUGUGGGGAAGAAUUUUCUCCAAAGGCAGAUUUUACUCAAAUUAUAAGCUAGGCCAGAAAGUUGUGUAAUGUUCAACCAUCAGUCAUUGACUAAUUUUCUGAGAAUUGAACAAAAAUGGCCAAGUACAAAGUGAAGUCAAAUAAUAAUUACACUUUAAGGAAUUAGUGACAACAAAUCAAGUAGGAUAUUUGAUAGCAGGGGUGCAGGAUCACAAGCAAAUACACAAAUGUCUUUUCCUUGAUUGCAGCACUUUAACAUUUUCAUAGUUUCUGGCAUGCAGAAAGAAGAUCUAAGACUGAUAUGGGAAGAGACUGUUUAGUCUUCUCCCACUCCCUCCUUUAUCCUUUUUACAAGUCUACGUAUCUACUUUCAUUCCCUUUUUACUUUUCCUUUCAAAUGAUUUUUUUCUCUUCAGCAAAAUCACACUUGAAAUUUUGAGCUUUCACUCUUAUACAGCGAAACCCUCUCAAAAUGUUGCACCUUGUGUGUUUGAAGCUCUUCAUUUACUGCCAGCUCUCAACUCUCCCUUACUAGGUUAUUCAGUUUUCCAAGUUCUGUGUUCCAAGAUCUCUCUAUUCGCUCUUUGCUGGUCUUGCAGAGUUCAUUAGUGGGAAUAUAGGGAUAAAUAUACACGUGACUACAUUGCUUUCAGAGACAGCUUCUCUCUCAGAUGACUCUAGUCACGCUCAUGUAGUGCUGGGGCUGAACAAACUUUGCUAGAACCUAGCAGUGUCUCCUGCAGCUUAGAGCAUCAGUAUUGGAUUGUUAAAGGUCUUACACCAAGGCAUCUGUGCUGCUGAGAUUGUAUCAUCUGUGUGUUUGUGCAGCAGUGAGCUCACUCAUAGCAAAAUCUUCCCUGGACCUGUGCUAAUGGUUGUCCUGGCCAAUUAAUGUUGUUAAAUGCAGGCCCUGAUUUGUACAGUCAGCAAAUGUCAACAAAAAACCCUUGGGAAGUAGCAGUAGUUGGAAGAAAAAAACAAAUAUACAGGAAAAAUUAUCCACAAACCUGUUCGUAUUUCUGAGAUGAUUAAAAAAUAUAUUUAAUUUCAGCCCUCAUGUGUUCACAGAACGUUAAAUGAGAACCAUAAUUAUUCUGUGUGUUGUCUACAGUGGAGACAAGCAAAAAGAGAAUCCCAUUUAGGGGUAAGGAAGCAAGUAGUUGUGAGCCAACUGUGUUGACAGCCUUCCAGCUGGAUCAAGACUCAUUUUUCUGAACAGUUUUGGGACAGUUUGUAUAAAAUAGGUGAAGCUGUGCUCUACAGGGAAUACUGCCUCUUGUGUGGAGAAGUCAGUGUGGACCCAACACUGUGCAACAGGAGAAAGAGUCAAAUCUACAAACAUUGAUAUAAUUAUGUGUUCUCAACCUCCAGAUACAUUGGCUUCCCAAGCCAUUGGUUCAAAUAUGACUGAUAAUGAGUUUUUUGGUAAUGCCAUGAUAUCUGAUGUGUCAGCUAGAAAACAACGUCACCAAAGACAUACUCGCUGUUACCAGUCUCAGCAUUGAUAUGGAAGCAGGACCUGGUUUUCUAGGUUUCUUAGUUUAAACCUGUUUGCUAAAACUUAUAAAAUAACCCCUGAGAUUUUCCCAUUUGGUCAUUGUUUGGACCUAAGACCUCACGGAGACACACCACUUGAGAUGCCAGAGCUGUGGCACACGGUUUUGCCUCUACUGAGAGAGCGUUAUCAAAACCAUCAAUGCCCUUGUGUUACUUACCGAGCCCUGCUUACCUGUGCACUCCUGUGUUACUCACACACCUGUGUCAGGUCCAGCGGCAGCAGGUCAGGGAGCAGACACCUUGCAUUUCACAGCAGAAGCGUGGACAGCACUGGUGUUGGCCUGCCUCUGAUGAGUCAGCUGAACUGCUCGGAAGGAGAGAGAUUACAUACAACAGGGCAAGACUUUGCAGUUUAUCAGUUUAAUAAUAAAGCAGAUAGAUUUAAAAGAAUUCGGGAUGGAUUGCCUUAAGUUGUGGUUCCAAGAGAAAUCACGCGAGGCUUUAGACACCUAGCAAUGGGGAAUUAGAGUGCCGCAGCUGGAUGAUGAAAGGCACCGAAGUGGGACAACUCACUCAACUGCUUCAGAUUUGUUGUAGACGUGCUGAAGGGAUAACUUUGUUUGUGCAGACCACAUGCCAGACCGGGUAUUUACUGUUGUAGCUCCAAUACUGGAUGAGGGAUAACUCAGAGAGGCAGUAUAAAGCAUUGUCAAUGUGAAUCGUGUUCUGGGUGCUCCAGCUAACCGGACAGAAUGUAAUUUGCUCCCUGAUCCUGAUCAGUUUUCUUUUCCCAAGUGCUAUAGUGGUCCAAUAUUAAUAACAUGGAGCCAGAGCCCUAAAGACAGCAAACAGAUUGAGUAACAUUAACAAACGAGUAUGUAACAACCCACCGGAAAUCACAACAGAAUUUGGGCACAGCAGUAUCAAUACUCUGAUGUGGUAAAGUAAGGCUGCAACUGUUUGUGUCAGCUGAUCAAUUGACUCAAAUGAUAUAGAUGAUUUCUGCUUCAUUUAGCCUUUUAGCAGUUACCACUUCUAGAACCCCAGGGAUAAUUGUAUUUCAAGAAAACAAGAAAACCUUUCCAGUGUUUGACAAAGUGAGAUCUCCUUUGAAAAGACAGUCCUUUUCAAAAGUAAUCACAGCUCUAAACAUGAGGUGGUGGCUCAUAACAUUCUUACAAAAAGCCUUUUAAAAUUGACUGGCAGAUUCAGCCCCACCUCGUUCAAUUACAAGGAAGCAAAUGGGCUGCAAAGAAAACCUACUUAAAAAGUCACCCAGCAGGCAUUUUGGUUACUACCCAGUGUGAGUUACAAAUUGGGUAAUAGGAAAAGCAAAGAAAUAACAGGCUUUAGUAACGUUAGGCCUAAGCUAGUAUUAGUCCACUUCUUAUUAGAAUCAUAUUAACACAAAGACAAAACCUUAGCACUGCUUACUUGAAUAAGUUGAGCUAUGUGGGAACACAGACUUCAGAACAUUAAGUCAUGUUGGCCUGUGAUCUCUCUAUAAAAAAUAUAACUAAUGGAGUCUUUAGCCAGCUAACAGAAAUAAGGUACUUUUUAAAUUAUCAGAACUCAAAGAGACUAACAAAACUGAUUUAAAGACUGACCUGCUUCAAUACGAACAUUAAUUCUUGAGUACAGGCAUAUUUCAUUUAGUGUUCAUACCAAGCAUAACCUUCCUCACCCCUCCAGUGCUUUUUUAAUUGAAUAAAUACUUCAAGAACCAAGAGCAACAGACUUGGCAGAAAAGGCAGAUCUCACAGAAAGCUGUCAGAAUCUUCUUGCAUACACAGUUUUUCAGGGAUUUGUCCAGUCAGUGCAUUAAUGUAAUUUUGCCUGUUUCUAAAUGCCUUCAUACUUAAAUGGCAAUCGUGCCCUACUGCUGCAUCUUUCAGAGGCAACAGAAUAUGCAGGUGGGGCUGAGCCACAGAUGGCUCUCUUCACUGAGACACGGCUACUGCUGUGCUGGAGGUUUCUACCUGGCAGCAAAACUAGCAAAGGGGUUUCUCAGAUCCCCCAGCACAAAGGCAUCUGCCCGUGGCUGGUUUGGUGCUGGACAGUGCUAACCAUGGUGAUUUUACACCAAAGUGGGUUUGAGAAGUGCUUCUGCAUUUCAUUGUGCCUGGUGACAAGCUAGACAGGCUCCUUGUGCCAGUGGAUGAUUGUAUGUAGGAGACAAAAGAAGCUCUUCAAGAAGCAAAGCUAGGGCCAGAAGAGUGCAUCUGCUGGUGCUCUCAGCCUAUGGGUGGUGACACUGUGUCUAUGUGCUACUCUACUCUGCAAAGAUAUAUUCUUAAAUUAAUCUUAUAUUUAUUCUUAUUCUCCAUCUGUAUCACUCUUCCUAUCACCUUUAAAUAACUGUAAGUGCAGCAAACCACUGGCAAAAGGUUAUUUGGGUUUGUACCACAUUCAUCAGAUUAAAUACUUUAAAACUGUUCCACUUAACAGUAAGGCAGUAGCUUUUAUAUUGCCUUGUGGACCUAAGGCAGCACAAUCAAGCCCAUGGGUAAACAUAGGGUUUUAGUGCUUUCAGUUACAGACAGCAAUAGCCGCUGGUUUGCUGAGUCAGCAUUAUAGGCACGAGUAUAUACAGCUGUGUCACCUGAGGGACAUGAACACAACACUAUGCAGGUAAGUAACCUUAGCCAAAUACUUGGGUUUAUAACAGCAAUUCAGAUGGUGUCAUCAGAGAGGUGGAUUACAGCUUGGAUUCUGCAAAUUCUUCUCUGUGUCCAGCUUUCCUAUCCUGAAACAGCCUCCUUGAGCAAUACUGGAGAUGCUUUUGAAUACCCUGGAGUGAUUAAUCCCACCAAAUGCUGACUGUCUGCCCCGCUAACCCAGCAAAGAUUUUAGCAAAGGGGUGCCAUUUUAAUCAAGAACAAAAUGUAGUUAUCAACCACAUGUUCUACUGAGAUAUGAGGAGAAAUAGCAAGACCAUCAAUCACUUUAUUCACACAGAAGAAUAUUUAGAAACUCUCCUGAAGUAGUUUGAUGGCUGUUUAGUAGCCUGUCCCUUUUUUUUGUGCAGUGUGAUCUGUCUGGCUUUGAAGACUGGGCUAGAUUUGCUAUCCUGGAUAUAAAUCUGCCUCAUGACUUUCUAACAUCCAAGUUUAGCACAGUAGAGACCUUGGCUCUGUACACUUCUGGUACCUGUAUGGGGGAUAUUAUUUCUAAUUGGGAUCUCUAGUAGACACUACAGUAUUGCAUUAGCUGUAUAAUGAUAAUAAAAGCAAUUAGAUGGCCUUAAGCUUCAUGUGGAACUAUCUGACAGGAAAAUUUUGGAAAAAACACAGGUGCUUAAUUUUGCACCCAGAACUUCUCUAAAUGAGAGGAUUUCCACAGAAAUGAGAUUCUUCUAUUUAACUGCUUCAUGUUAUCUACUCUGGAAUAGGUAGAGAUAAAGAAGCAGUUGGCAUUUAUCAUGCUAUGUGUCAUUGUUUCCUUGUGGCAGUGAUUUCUUUCAAAAUAUUCCCUCAGUGCUGCACACCAAAACGUCCUGCUCCUUGGGCCUGACUGUGAACUUGUGACUCAGGAUGGAAUAGUGAUACAUCUGGAUAAGUACAAGACAGGUAGGUAUCCUGUUCCUGAGCAAUCAAAAACUGGCCACAACAUCCCCCCAUUACAGAACUGGAGGACUGGAAGGGGCCUCAAACUUCACAGGCUCUCCAGGGUCAACUGCCCUAUUUCAGUCUUGACUCGAGCUUUUGAGAGACCUACACUGGGAAAACUCCACAUGUCUAGGCAAUAGGAUAAGAAGGGAAAUGAUAAAGAGAUUUAAAAGCGUCACUUAUUUCUGAAAAACUUCACAUUGGUUAUGGCUCUUUCCAGGAUCGGGAAAUGCAAGAACACAACCACUUCUGCAGUAGGUCAGGUCAAAGUCUGUCUAACUCAACACCGUGUAUCUAAAAUGCUGAAAUAAGGCACAUAUGUUGAAAAAGGGCUUAUAAGGAAGUUUUCCUCUGACGAAGACUGUAUCCAGAUUACCUUACUAAAAAGCAUCGGUCUAUUUUGCAUUAACUAUAUAAUUCCUUUUAAAAACUGAUUAUGCUUUUGACCUGCAUAAUAUCCUGUGCCAUUAAGGUCCAUCAUUCAGUUCUGGGCUACGUGGAAAAAAAUGUUUCAUUUUGUUUAUUUGAACUUAGAGCCUUGAGGCUCUUUGGCUAUGGUAUUGUGAAAAAUAAUAAAAGACUGUUUGGAAGCUGAAGAUUCCCACAGUAUAUAGUCUGCCAUCAUAUGGGAGCUACUACAUGCAUUUAUUGUUCUGUCACCUUUCUCUUUGUUCACUGUGCUUCUUGUGAAACAGGGUGAUCAGAAAUAUCUGCUGUAUUUGAGAUGAGAAUGCGUGAUAGAUUUUUACAGCAGUAUGAUCAUUUUUACUGUUACUUUUUUCUGCUUCUUUUCUAGUAAUACUUAAAAUACACCUUGCUUUUUUGACCACCAUUGGGAAACAAGCUGAUAUUGUCAGAAAAUUCUCCAGAACUGCUUCAAGUUCAUUUUCCUGAGUAACAGUUAAUUUGUGUCGCAUCACUUGGCAUGUUUAUUUUAUAAUAUUUUUCCCAUGUGUUAUAGUAUAUGA